rnacentral:rRNA from 1 species
UACGUAGGGGGCGAGCGUUGUCCGGAAUCAUUGGGCGUAAAGAGCUCGUAGGCGGUUCAGUAAGUCGGCUGUGAAAUUCCGAGGCUCAACCUCGGAACUGCAGUCGAUACUAUUGUGACUAGAGUCCGGUAGAGGAGAAUGGAAUUCCCGGUGUAGCGGUGAAAUGCGCAGAUAUCGGGAGGAACACCCGUGGCGAAGGCGGUUCUCUGGGACGGUACUGACGCUGAGACGCGAAAGCGUGGGGAGCGAACAGG